rnacentral:rRNA from 1 species
AACGAACGCUGGUGGCAUGCCUAACACAUGCAAGUCGAACGAUGCUUUCGGGCAUAGUGGCGCACGGGUGCGUAACGCGUGGGAAUCUGCCCUUGGGUUCGGAAUAACAGUGAGAAAUUGCUGCUAAUACCGGAUGAUGUCUUCGGACCAAAGAUUUAUCGCCCAGGGAUGAGCCCGCGUAGGAUUAGCUAGUUGGUGGGGUAAUGGCCUACCAAGGCGACGAUCCUUAGCUGGUCUGAGAGGAUGAUCAGCCACACUGGGACUGAGACACGGCCCAGACUCCUACGGGAGGCAGCAGUGGGGAAUAUUGGACAAUGGGCGCAAGCCUGAUCCAGCAAUGCCGCGUGAGUGAUGAAGGCCUUAGGGUUGUAAAGCUCUUUUACCCGGGAUGAUAAUGACAGUACCGGGAGAAUAAGCUCCGGCUAACUCCGUG